GUGCCAGCACGCCUGCGGGAAUUCCAGCUCCAAUAGCGUAUAUUAAAGUUGUUGUGGUUAAAAAGCUCGUAGUUGAACCUUGGGCCUGGCUGGCCGGUCCGCCUCACCGCGUGCACUGGUCCGGCCGGGCCUUUCCCUCUGUGGAACCCCAUACCCUUCACUGGGCGUGGCGGGGAAACAGGACAUUUACUUUGAAAAAAUUAGAGUGCUCCAGGCAGGCCUAUGCUCGAAUACAUUAGCAUGGAAUAAUAAAAUAGGACGCGCGGUUCUAUCUUGUUGGUUUAUAGGACCGCCGUAAUGAUUAAUAGGGACAGUCGGGGGCAUCAGUAUUCAACUGUCAGAGGUGAAAUUCUCGGAUCAGUUGAAGACUAACUACUGCGAAAGCAUUUGCCAAGGAUGUUUUCAUUAAUCAGGAACGAAAGUUAGGGGAUCGAAGACGAUCAGAUACCGUCGUAGUCUUAACCAUAAACUAUGCCGACUAGGGAUCGGACGGGUGUUACUCAUGACCCCGUUCGGCACCUUACGAGAAAUCAAAGUGCUUGGGCUCCAGGGGGAGUAUGGUCGCAAGGCUGAAACUUAAAGAAAUUGACGGAAGGGCACCACCAGGGGUGGAGCCUGCGGCUUAAUUUGACUCAACACGGGGAAACUCACCAGGUCCAGACACAAUAAGGAUUGACAGAUUGAGAGCUCUUUCUUGAAUUUGUGGGUGGAGUGCAUGGCCGAUCUUAGUUGGGGGGGUGACUUGUCCUGCUUAAUUUGCGAUAACGAAACGAGACCUUAUACCUGGCUGUA
rnacentral:rRNA from 1 species